CGGUAGGCUGUGUCACCAUACAUAAAUAUAAGAAAGGCUAGAUGAUUCGAGGCGGAGUCACCGGCAUCCCUACACGGCAGCCAUCUUACUCCAGUAUAUGACUCUGGUACAUGCUAUGGUAACUUAUGGGAGAUGAGUAACCAUUACUUAUUGUUGGAGUACGCGCUUGCAACAAUAAUCCAAUCAAUGCGCCAAUGCUUAUUGCACCUUACAAUCCGGCGCGCCUUAUGUGUGAACAUAGCAUUAAUUCACAGUGCACCGUAUAAUCCGGUUCGCCUUAUUGCCCGAAAAAUACGGUAGUCUUAAAAUAAUUUUUAUUUAAGUAAAAAAUUUCUCAGAAACCUCGUCUUCAUUCAGGUUUUUCUGCACAUGCUCAUUGACUUACAGGAAGCACACCUUAUAUGGGGCUCAUUGGCCAUUCAUGGACAAAUCUGAGUUUUCUCCCACAUGCAUGAGUUCAUUGAAGGUUAUUUUGACUCUCUUGUGCAAACUCACUCCUUUCAGAGCAGAAAUGAUGAACAAUAAUGGCUUUAAUAACUCCACCAUAAAGGAUUUUCAAUCCGCCUUAAAAGCUGUGUUUCUCCUUCCAGUCUACAGGCUGAUCCUGGCCUCUGUCUCUGGCACAGUUGUUCUUAUUCAUCAAUAUUCAGCACUCUGACAUCCAACUCUGGAGCAACAUUAAUUUUUCAUCUGAGUGAUGAUCCCCUUGUAAGAGUAUAAUCUGUUGGAGUCUGAGGGCUGGAAGCGUUUCUGAGACUAUCUCUGGGAUCCAGACGGAGC